AAGUGUAAUAACUCCAGAUUUUGUAAUUCUUCUCUGUUGUUGCAGGUGAUGAAGAAAAGUGUUAUAACUCCAGAUUUUGUAAUUCUUCUCUGUUGUUGCAGGUGAUGAAGAAAAGUGUUAUAACUCCAGAUUUUGUAAUUCUUCUCUGUUGUUGCAGGUGAUGAAGAAAAGUGUUAUAACUCCAGAUUUUGUAAUUCUUCUCUGUUGUUGCAGGUGAUGAAGAAAAGUGUUAUAACUCCAGAUUUUGUAAUUCUUCUCUGUUGUUGCAGGUGAUGAAGAAAAGUGUUAUAACUCCAGAUUUUGUAAUUCUUCUCUGUUGUUGCAGGUGAUGAAGAAAAGUGUUAUAACUCCAGAUUUUGUAAUUCUUCUCUGUUGUUGCAGGUGAUGAAGAAAAGUGUUAUAACUCAAGAUUUUAUAAUUCUUCUC